rnacentral:sRNA from 1 species
GCUUGUGCUCAGCUCCAGCUCACCGGCUGGCCACCGAGACCUCUGGACAGGGAACUGCACCAUCCUCUUCUCCCAGCAAGGGGGCUCCAGAGACUGCCCACCCAGGAAGUCUGGUGGCCUGGGGAUUUGACUCUGCGGUGGAGCUGUGGAAGCCAGGCGCACAGGAUGCAAGCAGCCAGGCCCAGGGAGGCAGCAGCUGCAUCCUCAGAGAGGAAGCCAGGAUGCCCCACUCUGCCGGGGGUACUGCAGGGGUGGGGCUGGAGGCUGCAGAGCCCACAGCCCUGCUCACCAGGGCAGAGCCCCCUUCAGAACCCACAGAGAUCCGUCCACUAAAGCGGAAAAAGGGGCCAGCCCCCAAAAUGCUGGGGAACGAGCUAUGCAGCGUGUGUGGGGACAAGGCCUCUGGCUUCCACUACAAUGUUCUGAGCUGCGAGGGCUGCAAGGGAUUCUUCCGCCGCAGCGUCAUCAAGGGAGCGCGCUACGUCUGCCACAGUGGCGGCCACUGCCCCAUGGAUACCUAUAUGCGUCGCAAGUGCCAGGAGUGUCGGCUUCGCAAAUGCCGCCAGGCUGGCAUGCGGGAGGAGUGUG